CUGAUCCCACGAGAUGUAGAGAAGAGGAACGGUCAGCCCGGGCAGAGAUCCACGUUGCCCAGGUAAGGCAUCAUUAUAACAGGGAGCUGCCAUUUCCCUGAGCUCUCCGUUCACGACUGGGCUAGUUUUUAUACCGGGCCCCCAGCCAGACUGACUCUCGGCACGGGUCGAAUGACACCUUAGUCCGGCCCGGUUUGAGGUGGGUGGGUGAGGAUGAGGAUAGGUGUUGUGUGGGGAAGGGAAGUAUGUGAGCUACUUAUACGAGGCGGCACCACAAGCGCAUCGUCAGUGUUGCUACUUAGCUACUUCGCGAACACCCGCUGGCUGUCCGGGGCUGUUUAUUUCCGCUUAUUCACAGCUAACCUAAUUAAACAAGGUAGGCCGUUCGCUAUCCGUAACCUGCGACCCGUCCGGUGGCCUCAGCCUUAGCUCUUUGGAUUCGUCGGAGUUUUUCACAUAACUAUCUUAGAUCUGCUUGUGAAGAACUUUAAUUGUC
rnacentral:lncRNA from 1 species